GACGUUUAGAACAUGCUUUGGUAACCUUGACCUUUCUUUAGAAGCCAUCGCUGUAGACUUGACCGAACCGGCGUUGAAAUAAUUCCACUAUGUCGUCUGCUUGGAGAGCGGUUGGCAUAAGCUACAUUCAGUACUCUGGCAUAUGUGCCCAGGCUGUGAGGAACGCACUGAAACCAGAAAUCCAGCAGCAAUUGUCGAAAAAAGGAGAGUCGAUCAUGAAAGUGACAAAGUGGGAGGGAGGAAAACCUAUCAAUGGAAAUGGCAAUAUGAUUAAUUAGCUCAUGAUGUCAACAGCCACCUUUACUCUGGAUGAGGAUGUAGUGACGAAGGCUAGCUAACAUUGGCUGCUGGUGGAUGGUUUAGUGUGUGUAUUUGCUGGUGUUAGGUGUGUGAUGAUCCUAAGACUAGAGGACAUUUGACAUUUCAAUGAACAAGGACCACUCAAAAUUUCACCAUUGAGAGGACAUUCAAUCAAGCUAGUAAAUACAGGAUUUGGAUGUUAAAUAUAUAUCAUUUACAGCAGUCAGCUUUGUAAAUAAAAGGUAUAAAAGAC